UUUUCCCGAUCUGCCAUGUAUCCCAGAAAGGCCAUGUACAAGAGGAAGUACUCAGCGGCUAAAUCCAAGGUUGAAAAGAAAAAGAAGGAGAAGCUUCUUGCAACUGUUACAAAACCAGUUGGUGGUGACAAAAACGGAGGUACCCGGGUGGUUAAACUUCGCAAAAUGCCUAGGUAUUACCAUACUGAAGAUGUGCCUUGAAAGCUGUUGAGCCAUGGCAAAACACCCUUCAGUCAGCACAUGAGAAAACUGCGAGCCAGCAUUACCCCUGGGACCAUUAUGAUCAACCUCACUGGACGCCACAGGGGCAAGAGGGUGGUUUUCCUGAAGCAGCUAGCUAGUGGCUUUUUACUUGUGACUGGACCUCUAGUCCUCAAUCGAGUUCCUCUGCAAAGAACACACCAGAAAUUUGUCAUUGCCACCUCAACCAAAAUUGAUAUCAGCAAUGUAAAAAUCCCAAAACAUCUUACUGAUGCUUACUUCAAGAAGAAGCAGCUGUGGAAGCCCACACACCAGGAAAGUGAGAUCUUCGACACAGAAAAAGAGAAAUACGAGAUUACAAAACAGCGCAAGAUUGAUCAGAAAGCUGUGGACUCACAAAUUUUACCAAAAAUCAAAGCUAUUCCUCAGCUCCAGGGCUACCUGCGAUCUGUGUUUGCCCUGACAAAUGGAAUUUAUCCUCACAAAUUGGUAUUUUAAAUGUCCUAAUAAUCUAAUUAAAUAACUGAUUAC